UAUAUAGAAUUUUUAAUUUUAGUGUUACUUCAUAUAAACUUGAUUCUGUUGUAAUUGACUUCAGAUACAAUAACCUUGUUAUUAAUAUUUCUAAGGGGAUGGAUGGUAUUAGCUAAAUUAAUGUUGUAUUAGUAAAUGAAUUAAUAUUUUUGUAGAUU